rnacentral:misc_RNA from 1 species
AACGCACAUUGCGCCCCCUGGUAUUCCGGGGGGCAUGCCUGUUCGAGCGUCAUUAUCACCCCUCAAGCUCUGCUUGGUGUUGGGGCCCGCCGUAAAAGGCGGCCCUUAAAAUCAGUGGCGGUGCCUUCAGGCUCUAAGCGUAGUAAAUCUGUCGCUAUAGGGUCCUGAGGGAUACUUGCCAAAACCCCAAAUUUUUAACGAUUGACCUCGGAUCAGGUAGGGAUACCCGCUGAACUUAA